rnacentral:rRNA from 1 species
GAGUUUGAUCCUGGCUCAGGAUGAACGCUAGCGGCAGGCUUAACACAUGCAAGUCGAGGGGUAACAGGGAAGCUUGCUUCCGCUGACGACCGGCGCACGGGUGCGUAACGCGUAUGCAACCUACCUCAUACUGGAGAAUAGCCCUUGGAAACGAGGAUUAAUGCUCCAUAGUAUCACAGAUUCGCAUGUUUCUGUGAUUAAAGAAUUUCGGUAUGAGAUGGGCAUGCGUCCCAUUAGCUUGUUGGUGAGGUAACGGCUCACCAAGGCAACGAUGGGUAGGGGGCCUGAGAGGGUGACCCCCCACACUGGUACUGAGACACGGACCAGACUCCUACGGGAGGCAGCAGUGAGGAAUAUUGGGCAAUGGAGGCAACUCUGACCCAGCCAUGCCGCGUGAAGGAUGACUGCCCUAUGGGUUGUAAACUUCUUUUAUAUGGGAAGAAACUUAUCUACGUGUAGAUAACUGACGGUACCAUACGAAUAAGGAUCGGCUAACUCCGUGCCAGCAGCCGCGGUAAUACGGAGGAUCCAAGCGUUAUCCGGAUUCAUUGGGUUUAAAGGGUCCGUAGGCGGGUCUUUAAGUCAGUGGUGAAAGCCGACAGCUCAACUGUCGAACUGCCAUUGAUACUGGAGACCUUGAGUACAAAUGAAGUAGGCGGAAUGAGUCAUGUAGCGGUGAAAUGCAUAGAUAUGACUCAGAACACCGAUUGCGAAGGCAGCUUACUAACAUGUAACUGACGCUGAGGGACGAAAGCGUGGGGAGCGAACAGGAUUAGAUACCCUGGUAGUCCACGCCCUAAACGAUGUCUACUAGUUGUUGGUGGAGUAAAAUCCAUGAGUAACGCAGCUAACGCGUGAAGUAGACCGCCUGGGGAGUACGGUCGCAAGAUUAAAACUCAAAUGAAUUGACGGGGGCCCGCACAAGCGGUGGAUUAUGUGGAUUAAUUCGAUGCAACGCGAAAAACCUUACCUGGCCUUGACAUGUACCGAAUUUAGCAGAGAUGCUUUAGUGCUCGAAAGAGAACGGUAACACAGGUGCUGCAUGGCUGUCGUCAGCUCGUGUCGUGAGAUGUUGGGUUAAGUCCCGCAACGAGCGCAACCCUUGCCAUUAAUUGCCAUCAUUUAGUUGGGCACUUUAAUGGGACUGCCGGUGACAAACCGGAGGAAGGUGGGGAUGACGUCAAGUCCUCAUGGCCCUUAUGGCCAGGGCUUCACACGUAAUACAAUGGUCGGUACAGAGGGAAGCCAACCCGCGAGGGGGAGCCAAUCUCAGAAAGCCGGUCGUAGUCCGGAUUGUUGUCUGCAACUCGACAGCAUGAAGUCGGAAUCGCUAGUAAUCGCGGAUCAGCAUGUCGCGGUGAAUACGUUCCCGGGCCUUGUACACACCGCCCGUCACACCAUGGGAGUGGGUUUUACCAGAAGUAGUUAGUCUAUCCGCAAGGGGGACGAUUACCACGGUAGGAUUCAUGACUGGGGUGAAGUCGUAACAAGGUAACC